ensembl:lncRNA
GCAACAGAUGCCCUCUGUAGUCAGCUUCUCUCAUGUUUUUUCUGUGGACGUUUUUUGAAAAAUGCCCCAAUAAAUGAGUGGAUAUGAACAAAAAAGCAAACAAUUUACAGGGUUUAGACAAAUAUACAAUGAUGGGAGACAUAAUCGAUUCUGACGACAAAGAGAAGUGGAUAUAUUCCAUGCAAAUUAAAUAUCUGGACCAGCAGUUGGAGAGGCUUCAGCUCCGGUGUGACGAGCUGGAGCAGCCCAACAAAGACCUGGCCUCCGGCUGCGUCGCCAUGACGACGGACAAGGCGGACAUCGCCGGGUACCCUGAAGAUUGGCGAAGCUCAGAUGGAGCUGGUGGAGCUGGCGGAGCUGGCGGAGCGACGAUCGGCAGCCAGCGACCGGCAGACAGAGGCCUUGAAGCUGCAGCACAGCCGGCGGGAGACGGAGCUCCGAGACCGGAUCAACGAGCAGAACUCAGACAACACUAAGCUGGCAGCAGCGUUGCCGGAGCAGCUGACGGAGCAGCAGUGUGACGCGGAGGCGGUGAAGGAGAAGCUGGUGUGUCAGAGGGAGGAGCUUGAGCUCACCUGGUUCACCUUGAAGCGGGACGCAGCGUUGGCGUGGCAGAAGAAGCUGCAGGAGUGGCGCCCCACGAAGGAGGAGCAGAUGGAGGAGAUCCAGAACGUGGUCCGGAAGGAGAGGGCUCAGCACCCGGAGCUCCGUCAGAAGGUGCGGGUGCUGGUGGAGGAGGACGGUGCUCUGCUGAAGGAGGUAAUCCAGCUGCAGCAGAGCCCCGUGGAGUCGCAGGCGGAGGACCCGCAGAGACAGGCGGAGGCGCUCAGGGGGAGGAGCCUGGCCUGCAGGAAGGAGCUGGAGGAGAUGAGGAAGACGAGUCACCGGCUGAAGGUGCAGCUGCAGGAUGGUGGCACCACCAACGAGAGGCUGCAGGUGGAGGAAGACGGCCUCAGGCACCUCGUGACCUCUGACACCGAGGAGGAGCGUCAGAGGACGUCGGAGGCCGAGGACCUGAGGGCGGAUCUCCGGAGGGGGAGGAGCAUCUGGAGGAGCCUGGAGGCCGUCCUGCAGGAAGCAGCCGUCCUCCUCAGCCACACCCUGGAGAACUCGGCGAGGACCUCCAGCUAUCGGGAGGAGAUGCUGAGCCUGCGGGAGAUCCUGCAGAGCGCCGCCCCCCAGGGACCAGGACCCACGCUCGAGGAGUUCCACAGAGGACAGAGAUCUCAGACCAGAACUCAGACCCCGGAUCCGUUGUUCCUGAUGGCCCGCUACAGACCCGGCGACCUGGGCCUCGUGCCCCGCCCCUCAUGGAAACAAAACCCCGCCCUCAGUGGGGCCCCGCCCCCUCCCAGCAGGUCUGUGAGGAACGGUUCCUCGUACAGGAGACACGUGUCCUCUCAGUCCAGUCCUGCAGUCCGUCCCUCAGGGAGCUCUGAAGGUCCAGAUCAGAAAUAAGAGGUUGCAUUUGAUUCUGAUGCGUCGGAUUUAUUGAUUCAUACGUUUAAAGCGAUUGAAACAGAAUCCUCACAUCUACAUUUUAUUUAAAAGACAAACGCAUUGAUGCUUUUUAAACUAGUUUCAUACUCACCGAUACAAUAAAGUACGUUAAUAAGAAACGUGGUGAUGAUGCCGUUUGUUUUAAACAUGAGCUGGUCGUCUUCUGAUAAAGAGUUUAAUACUUUUCUAUUGAUACUUUUGUUUCUAAACUAGAAAGAAAAGCAACUAGUUGUUUAAGUGUUUUAUCAGGUUCAUUUGAGGACAAAAGACGUUUGAGAUUCAGCAACAAAAACAAAGUCAACAAUUAUUAAAUUGGGAAUUUAUUAAAGUUCAAACACGGCGACAGUGCAAGCUUUGCUAAAACAGUUAUAAAUAUAUAAAAAUUAUUUUACAUUAUGAGGUAAAACAAACUGGCGAAAUCCUAAAAACACAAAGUGAAUCAGAUUUAAAACACUUUUCUAAUGAACUCGGCGAGAUUUCAUACAAAGAAUCUUUGGUGCUUUCUGGGGAAAAAGUUCCUUCAUGAUCAGAAUAAAUGUUUUAGAUAAAAACGUUGUUGAUUAAACAAUAAUCCAA